rnacentral:rRNA from 1 species
GAUGAACGCUAGCGGCAGGCUUAAUACAUGCAAGUCGAGGGGCAACAGGGGUAGCAAUACCUGCUGGCGACCGGCAAACGGGUGCGGAACACGUACAGAACCUUCCUUUAAGCGGGGGAUAGCCCGGAGAAAUCCGGAUUAAUACCCCAUAGUAAUAUUGGUUGGCAUCAACUGGUAUUUAAAGAUUUAUCACUUAGAGAUGGCUGUGCGGCUGAUUAGGUAGUUGGUGUGGGUAACGGCCCACCAAGCCUGCGAUCAGUAACUGGUGUGAGAGCACGACCAGUCACACGGGCACUGAGACACGGGCCCGACUCCUACGGGAGGCAGCAGUAAGGAAUAUUGGUCAAUGGACGCAAGUCUGAACCAGCCAUGCCGCGUGAAGGAUGAAGGUCCUCUGGAUUUGUAAACUUUCUUUUAUGUGGGACGAAAUGCUAUUUUUUCUAAAGUGUUUGACGGUACCAUAGGAAUAAGCACCGGCUAACUCCGUGCCAG